GAAAGAAACCGCUGUUAAGAGACUAUCAACAGACUCUGGACAAGGGAUGCAAGAAUUCAUGAAUGAAGUGAUUGUGAUUUCCAAACUCCAACACAGGAAUCUUGUCAAACUGCUGGGAGGUUGUGUUGAGAAAGAGGAGAAGAUUCUGAUAUAUGAAUACAUGCCAAACAAAAGCUUGGAUGCUUGUCUCUUUGAUCAGUUCAACACAUCCCAUUCUUCUUAUGCAUUUAAAAAAGUUUUUAGCAGCAGAGUUUUCAUAAUAUACAUGUUUUGAACAGGUCCUACAAAUCCAACAAAGAAGUUGUUGGAUUGGAAUAUGCGUUACAGCAUUAUCGAGAGGCAUCGGGAGAGGCAUCUUGUACCUUCACAGAGACUCAAGACUAAGGAUCAUUCACAGAGACCUCAAGCCAAGUAAUAUUCUCCUAGACCAAGACUGGAAUCCAAAAAUCUCUGAUUUCGGGAUGGCAAGAAUAUUCGGAGGCAAUGAAGACCAUGGAAAUACUGCAAGAGUCGUGGGAACAUACGGAUACAUGGCGCCAGAAUACGGAAUGGGAGGCAGAUUUUCUGAAAAAUCCGAUGUAUACAGCUUCGGAGUGCUGAUAUUGGAGAUUAUAAAAGGAAAAAGAAUACACACUAUUUCAAUGAUGAAUUGUCCUCGAGUCUCAUAGGAUGUGCAUGGAAAAUGUGGAAUGAGGGUAAGGGUUUGAGCUUCGUGGAGGAAAGCAUCGAUUCGCAAGUAGGGAGACAGAGGAGGUUCGAUGCAUUCAGGUAGGGCUGCUGUUUGUCCAAGAAUCACUGAACAACAGACCUGCGAUUCAAACCGUUCUGUCGAUGCUGAGUGGUGAAAUUGUGGAGCCAAGCAACCAGGGUUUGCGGAGCAGAAUGAGUCAACGAACCAUAAUGGCUACUCCAAUAACGAGCUCACUCUCACCGUGCUUGAUGGUCGAUAACCCUAUUGAAACUGAUCGUCUCAGCUCGUCUU